AUAAGAAAAGUGUAAUAAAGUGACGCGCAAAAAUCAAAAAAUAAGUGUCUUAAAACAAAUAUAUACCUGAAAUUACAAAUAAUAAAAAGCAAACAAAUUUAAAAAUGUCAAGCAAACCCAAAAAAUCUAAACAUUCUACCUCCACUGACAUACAUAUCAUGUUAGAAGAUAUUCAUGUGAUCUACAGAAAAUCAAAUAAAAUCUAGUUAAAAACCAACAGGAAGUUGAAAAAUAUAAAAAAUUAUGUUUGAAAAAAUUGAAAAGCAGAACAACGGCGUUUGCGAGAUGUUAGCAGAACACAGUGUUUGUUUAAAAUCAAUUGUAUUCUCAUUUUGGAAUACACCGAAAUAUAUAAAGCAGUUCCCUAUAAAAUCAGAGGAAGAAUUAUUAAAAUGGGAAGAUGGAAUAAAUGAGGAAAAUAAGGAUAUAAUUUUUUAAAUACGAAGAAAAUUAACAUAUUAAAACAUUUUUUGUUAUUCUAUUAAUACCAUUUGUACAUAGAAAUAUAUGUAUUAAUUACAAAUAUUUUUAGUACAUUUAGUAUCAUCUGUAAAUAAAUGCGAACCCAACACUUUUGAAAAAGAGAUAAGAUUGGCACUAAGACAAAUCAAAAAUCGACACUUUAAAGAUACUUUUGAUGAAAAAAAAAACGUGAAAUGAAAAAUAAUGCAGAUACAAUAGCUGAAUAAUGCGCUUUUAUUAUAUCCCCACAUUAUUCAUUUACUUUUUUUAAUUCUGUGAAUUAAAUUUAAAACCUAUUUUCACUGAAUGUGUAUUAAUACCUGUCUUUAAAAAUGUGAUUUAAUUUUUUAUGCCUUAAGUUAAUUUAGAGAAAAUUUAAAGCCAAUUCAAGUAUCUAAUAAUUGGAAAACUUUUUUAUUUCACUUUUCUUAAAAAAAUAUCAAUACUUCUGAAUUAAAUAUGAUAUAAUUAUUUUAGAUUUUACUCAAAUUUGCAAUCAAUUUUCUGUUUUCAUUGCUCAGGGAAUGAGUUUGAGAAAAUUAUAAUC